AACGAACGCUGGCGGCAGGCUUAACACAUGCAAGUCGAGCGCCCCGCAAGGGGAGCGGCAGACGGGUGAGUAACGCGUGGGAACGUACCCUUUACUACGGAAUAGCUCCGGGAAACUGGAAUUAAUACCGUAUGUGCCCUUCGGGGGAAAGAUUUAUCGGUAAAGGAUCGGCCCGCGUUGGAUUAGCUAGUUGGUGGGGUAAAGGCCUACCAAGGCGACGAUCCAUAGCUGGUCUGAGAGGAUGAUCAGCCACAUUGGGACUGAGACACGGCCCAAACUCCUACGGGAGGCAGCAGUGGGGAAUAUUGGACAAUGGGCGCAAGCCUGAUCCAGCCAUGCCGCGUGAGUGAUGAAGGCCUUAGGGUUGUAAAGCUCUUUCACCGAUGAAGAUAAUGACGGUAGUCGGAGAAGAAGCCCCGGCUAACUUCGUGCCAGCAGCCGCCGCAGUAA
rnacentral:rRNA from 1 species